rnacentral:misc_RNA from 1 species
CGCACCUUGCGCUCCCUGGUAUUCCGGGGAGCACGCCUGUUCGAGUGUCGUGAAUACCUCAAGCUGGAUGCUUUCAUCGGCAUCUGGCUUGGAUUUGGACUCUGCUGUUUCUGAAAGGGAAUGGCUAGUCUUAAAUGCAUUAGCUGAUCCAUGCUUGUAUGUUUGGUUCUACUCGGCGUGAUAAUUAUCUGACCGCUGAGGACAUUUGCUUUGCUGCGAAUGGCCAGAUGUGCCUUGGGUUGCUUCUAAUCUGUCUGCGCGCAAGUGCAACAAUUUUUCAACUUUGACCUCGAAUCAGGUGGGACUACCCGCUGAACUUAA